rnacentral:rRNA from 1 species
AGUGAACGCUGGCGGUAGGCCUAACACAUGCAAGUCGAACGGCAGCACCGUAAGAGCUUGCUCUUACGGGUGGCGAGUGGCGGACGGGUGAGGAAUACAUCGGAAUCUACUUUUUCGUGGGGGAUAACGUAGGGAAACUUACGCUAAUACCGCAUACGACCUACGGGUGAAAGCAGGGGAUCUUCGGACCUUGCGCGAUUGAAUGAGCCGAUGUCGGAUUAGCUAGUUGGCGGGGUAAAGGCCCACCAAGGCGACGAUCCGUAGCUGGUCUGAGAGGAUGAUCAGCCACACUGGAACGGAGACACGGUCCAGACUCCUACGGGAGGCAGCAGUGGGGAAUAUGGGACAAUGGGCGCAAGCCUGAUCCAGCCAUACCGCGUGGGUGAAGAAGGCCUUCGGGUUGUAAAGCCCUUUUGUUGGGAAAGAAAAGCAGCAGGUUAAUACCCCGCUGUUCUGACGGUACCCAAAGAAUAAGCACCGGCUAACUUCGUG